rnacentral:rRNA from 1 species
UGGGGAAUAUUGCACAAUGGGCGCAAGCCUGAUGCAGCCAUGCCGCGUGUAUGAAGAAGGCCUUCGGGUUGUAAAGUACUUUCAGCGGGGAGGAAGGGAGUAAAGUUAAUACCUUUGCUCAUUGACGUUACCCGCAGAAGAAGCACCGGCUAACUCCGUGCCAGCAGCCGCGGUAAUACGGAGGGUGCAAGCGUUAAUCGGAAUUACUGGGCGUAAAGCGCACGCAGGCGGUUUGUUAAGUCAGAUGUGAAAUCCCCGGGCUCAACCUGGGAACUGCAUCUGAUACUGGCAAGCUUGAGUCUCGUAGAGGGGGGUAGAAUUCCAGGUGUAGCGGUGAAAUGCGUAGAGAUCUGGAGGAAUACCGGUGGCGAAGGCGGCCCCCUGGACGAAGACUGACGCUCAGGUGCGAAAGCGUGGGGAGCAAACAGA